AGAGGCGUGGCUGGCCGGCUAGCUUGUUUUUUCUGUUGCUGAGCUUUCCUGGCCGGUCUAUAGCAUCAAUGGCAAGAAUGUACUGAUUACUGGUGGUAGCAGUGGUAUAGGGAAGUGCUUGGCUAUCGAUGCUAUCAAGAGAGGAGCAGCGUCUGUUACUAUUGUGGCAAGGAAUAAAAAGAAACUUAAGCAGGCUAAGUCAGAGAUAGAGUUUUAUCUCCACCAGCUCUAAUCAGGUACAUCUACAGUGUAUCUUCCCAUCUAUUAUGAACUCUUGGUACAUGUUGUAUACGGUAUUUACCUUACUUAAUUCACGCAUUAUAUACAUGCAUGCAAGCUAGUCUUUCGUUUGUAUUAUUAUAAUCAAUCACAAUACCAAAAUAAUUUAUUGAUGAACAAACAAUGAA